GGCCUAGUGUUUUUUUCACAAGUCAUUUGAUCCUUCGAUGUCGACUCUUCCUAUCAUUGUGAAGCAGAAUUCACCAAGCGUUGGAUUGUUCACCCACUAAUAGGGAACGUGAUCUGGGUUUAGACCGUCGUGAGACAGGUU
rnacentral:ncRNA from 1 species